rnacentral:tRNA from 1 species
CGCGGGUUGGCCAAGUGGUAAGGCGCCAGGCCCAUAACCUGGAGAUCGGGGGUUCGAAUCCCCCACCCGCCUCCA